rnacentral:rRNA from 1 species
UACGUAGGUGGCAAGCGUUGUCCGGAUUUACUGGGCGUAAAGAGCGCGCAGGCGGUCGUUCAAGUCGCGUGUGAAAGCCCCCGGCUCAACUGGGGAGGGUCACGCGAUACUGAUCGACUCGAAGGCAGGAGAGGGUAGUGGAAUUCCCGGUGUAGUGGUGAAAUGCGUAGAUAUCAGGAGGAACACCGAUGGCGAAGGCAGGUCUCUGGGCAUUAACUGACGCUGAGGAGCGAAAGUGUGGGGAGCGAACAGG